CUUAUUCCUAAACUGUUGGGACCAAAACUCCCAAAAUCAACCCAACCUUCCUUUUAUGGUCAUAAACCUUGUGUUUAAAUUUCAUAGAUUUCUAUUUACUUAUACUUAAGUUAUGGUGCGAAAACCAAGAAUAAUGCUUAUUUGGGCCCUUUUUGGCCCCUAAUUCCUAAACUGUUAGGACCUCAACUCCCAAAAUCAAUCCCAACCUUCCUUUUGUGGUCAUAAACCUUGUGUUUAAAUUUCACUGAUUUCUAUUUACUUAUACUAAAGUUAUUGUGCGAAAACCAAGAAUAAUGCUUAUUUGGGCCCUUUUUUGGCCCCUAAUUCCUAAACUGUUGGAACCAAAACUCCCAAAAUCAAUCCCAACCUUCCUUUUGUGGUCAUAAACCUUGUGUCAAAAUUUCAUAGAUUUCUAUUCACUUAAACUAAAGUUAUAGUGCGAAAACCAAGAAAAUGCUUAUUUGAGC
rnacentral:lncRNA from 1 species